UUUCCUCAGCCUUACUCCAGGGGCUCUUUAAACCCGUAGGUGCCUUGGCAUUGCCUGAGGAUAUAUUGAAACUAUGCUCAAUUCCCUCCCCAAGAGGACUCUUGCCUUUCUUUGGGGCCUACAAUUUGAGCACACAUC
ensembl:snoRNA